UACAGAGGACAGCGACCUGCCGAGACGGACAGAGGAUCUCUGCACCCGGGGUCGCCUGCUUCUGAGCCUGGGCGAUAAGGAUGGAGCCGCGGGGGCCUUCACCCAAGCUUUGGCCCUGGCACCAGCCCAAGCUCAAAGCAGCCUGUUGGAGCAACCAGGCCGGGCCACGACAGCCAGUGUGUUCCUGAUCCAUGGCCAGCGCUGCCUAGAGAAACAGCACUUUGAGGAGGCCUGGACAGCAGUCCGGAAUGGACUCCUGGUGGACCCCAGCCACAGUGGGCUAAAGAAAUUGAAGCUGAGGACUCGCAAGGAGGCGGCCUCUGGCUGCAGACUACACUAACCAGUGGCUAACUGCUUGACUCCUCGACCAGCUCCUAAGUUCUCACCUAGGGUGUACCUGGCUCCCCAGAUCCAAGAGUGGCUCUCUCUGCUGGCCAU
rnacentral:lncRNA from 1 species